rnacentral:rRNA from 1 species
AAAGCGCGCGUAGGUGGUUUGUUAAGUUGGAUGUGAAAGCCCCGGGCUCAACCUGGGAACUGCAUCCAAAACUGGCAAGCUAGAGUAUGGUAGAGGGUGGUGGAAUUUCCUGUGUAGCGGUGAAAUGCGUAGAUAUAGGAAGGAACACCAGUGGCGAAGGCGACCACCUGGACUGAUACUGACACUGAGGUGCGAAAGCGUGGGGAGCAAACAGGAUUAGAUACCCUAGU